AUAUAUAUAUAUAUAAUCGGGAAGAGUGUCCCAAACUUGAGGUGAAUAUUUCGUUUGUUCUGAGGUUUGAGCGAGUAGGAAAGCGUCCCUCGGGUACUGAGCUGCUGGGCUGCUGGGCUGCCAGGCUCACACACCGCACCACUCCUCCACACUCUGGGGAGACGUUGUAUUCAACAUUCUCUCUUUUAGCACAUUUUUCAUAAGUAAGAUCGCCAUUGUUGUCCACUAAUGCUGCGAGUGUGGUGAGCUGCCGCGCUUCACACGCCGCGCACACCACCGCUGGUGGAGAGCGCCUCGCAGCGUCCAGGGAGACGCGGCGCAGCUCACUUGAUCACUUAGAGACUUGAAUUUCUUUAUAUGGAAGUUAAUUAUGGUUAGAAUAAGCCAAAUAUUCACGUCUUGAAGUUUGACACACGUACGAUGGCUGGGACACGCGUGUGGUGCAUUGGGAAUGGCGGUAACUGGUCCACUCACGAGGCAGGAGCCAAUAUUUGGUGUCCCAGUUUGUUGCAUUCCGCGACUCACUCAUUUCCAAAAUGAAGUUCGUGUUGAAAAUACAUAAUGUUAGAUUUUUUUAAGAUUAUAAAAUUUUAUGGUUUACAUAUCUAAAAUAUUUUCGGGUGCGUGGUGCCAGUAUUAGCGGGGCGGUCCGCGGGGCGGUGCGCGCGUGGUGCUGCGCUGCGGGCCGCUGUCCCUGGGUGGAAGGUUAGCAGGCUGAUGGUGCGUCUUGCCAUUUCUUUGGGUGAGUGAGGCUUUAACAAUACUGUAAAUACUACUAAGUGACGAGACACGUGUGCGUUAGACACGGGCCGCCACGUACAGUCCCAGAUGCCAAGAUUUAAUUACUCGGGUCGUAGCCGAGAGUUUUAGGCCUUAUUAAUAAUUACCUUUAUGGGAUCUAGGGUUACCUGUAUUCUACCUUUUGGAGUCACUGAUGCAAGACCAUACACCUACAGACGUGAUAAAUUCCAGUCUGCUUGUGUCACUCUGAGUGCAGUACAUAGUACACUACUUAGACCAUCAUCUGCUUACUAAAGCUUCUCCAUCACAGCUGCGGCGUUUCAUUUGUUCGAGUUAUGUUUUCGUAAAGUUUCCGAUACAUAUUUUUCUUCCAGAUAUUGAUAUAAAGUAGUAGUGUGGAAUGUGUGUGUUUUGGUGGCUACUGAUGUCUGGGUCUCGGUCGUGUUCCUCAAUGCCCUGUCAGGAAAAGGGCCUCCGUGGGUCACGUUCACUGCGGUAGUGAUUGGGCGCCGCGCACUGCCAGGUUCAGGUUCUGUGCUCGCUAUCACAAAGAAAUUUUCAUGGAUCUAAGCAAUACAUGAUCACUACCCGCGCCUAAAAUGCAUUUGCCUGUUGGGUUGCUAUGUGUGUUCAUACAUUUGUAUCAAAUAUGUUACGUGGUUGUUAAAUGCUUCGAGCCAACAUGGUGCUUCGACUUGUGUUGCGAACCAUAGUGUAGUUCAUCCCAGUUUACUGUCAAGUCUUACUGCUGUGGAGUGUCAUUUUUCAAUGCAUUUCGUGUGAAUACAAGCUUGGGUAACAGGAGGAAGUGUGUGGCAUUGAGGGAAUGGCAGAAACGCAGAUGUCAGUGUUUGCCAAUAAUUUCUUUACAUCCUUUUACUUGGAUGAACCAAAACCGUUGUGUGUGUGCGAGGAAGAGCAACUGAGUUACUUGCUGUUGAAGUGUUCUCUGCAUAUUUGCCGUGUGGUUGUUCAGCGUGUUGGUAGAAAUGUAACAAUUUCCGCCUAGUCGCUUUAGAUGCCAUUCUUAUGUACAGUUUCAGAUGCUUUCCAAAAUAUUAUCCUAGUUGAAGUAAAUUUAUGUAGUCUGUGUAGGGAAUCGAGUUAGUUGAAUAUAUUAGAAAAAAAACAACAACAUAUUAUUGCUAGAAAUGGUGGUGGUAGGUCUUGGCCGAAAAAAAAGUAAUAUUUUAUGAAUUAUGUAUAAAGAUAAAACUUGAAUCAAAUGAAUACUUGCGAUUGGAUUUAUGAAACUUUUAUUUUGUGUGCUUGUGCGUGUGUGUGUAUAAAAAUAGGAUAAGGUAGCAUGCCAGUCACUGUGUUCUCCAUGUUGUUUGCUCUGGCUGUACACUCCUUCCUAACAUCACACAGACAAGCCCGCACACCCGAUCCUCUUCCUGCACCCCUGUCCUCCCCAACACCCUCCCCUCACACUGGCUCCCUACAACAAACCAAUCCACCUUCAUCUGCUCCCUAAGCCUCACAUUUCGUAAACAUGUUGGUUUCCCAGAGUGAUUUUUUUUUUAUACAUAUCUACAAAAUUUGAUUCAGUCUUAAUCAUAAAAUUACAUUCUAGCUUUAUAAACAGUAAUAUAUAAGUAGAAAUUAGUGAAUUGUUUCAAGGGUGUUUAUUAUUAUUAUUAUAUAUUCGUAAUUUGAGAUAAUAUCUGGGUACAGUUCGAGGCGCCUUUCAAAUCCUCUCUUCUCUCUUGGACACUCAUCUUUGGGCAUGCCAAACCCACCUUGUAAGGACCCACAUGUUAUGAGAUGCUGCCGUUGGCUUUGACUGUAGUGUGUGCAAGUUGUGUAAUACAGUUUAAAGAGAAAUAAGAAAGCCUUAUCAACAGUGACAGCGGUGUGGCACUGAACCAAGAGUCCGUUCACACAUUCUCACCAGCAUGAUAGGGGCGUCUCAGUGUCUCACUCCAGAGAACUCAUUUUUUUCUCCCUUGUUCAAUAUAAACCAAAAAAAAUUCAAUAAAAAGACAAUUUCCUGGAGUCUGUCUGUACUUCUGUCAGUGUGGCAUUAGAUUGUCUCUUUAUAGCUUAGAAACUCCUGUGUCCCAUCCUGCCAGCCCCGCAAUCCUUUAUGAUAUAUUUUUGUAAUCCUCUGUCAAGGUAUCUGGCCGCCACCCCAUUGUAGGGCUGGCAGGAAGGCAGGUGGUGGCUGCUCUGGGGUCACCAGCGUGCUAACAGUUGCCAUGCUGAUUCUGUGGUUGUAUGAGGCGAAAGACUGUUAUUGGUAUGUGGACUCUGUUACAUGGACCAGGUAUAGCAACAGUUACCAUAUGAAAGCUGAUAACCAAGACAAGGACAGCUACUAACCUGCCGGUUGGGUUGUGUCCUUUACACGACUCCAAGUCAGUCACCAAGUUUUCAAUUACUAAUAUGUUUUAUAAGCCACCUCAGGCUAGUUUUUGUUGUCAGUUGAUACCUGUGAAGAAAUUGAUGGAUGAAACCAAUAAAAAAUUAAACAAUUCCGAUUAUAUCAUUUCCUAUGGCCAACUUUUCAAGAGAUAAGACACAGCGAUCCAGAGCCUGUAUGGAGAGAACUUUGCCAUGAAGCGUACCACAAAUGAGGAAAGCCAGGUUUGGUCAUUUAUGCAGAGGCUGUGGCUGAGGGAGGAACUUUGGCACCAGCUGGCAAGAAGGUGGGAAUAUGACAAAUAUGACAGGAUCAGCGAGCGUCCUGUUUGAUGAAAACGGGACAGACAGGAUCAGGCAAGACUGGCUACAUGAAGAGGUAGUUAUAGGGAGUGUGUGCCAGGCAGUACCCUGACGGUCACAUUGCUCCUGAGUCCUCGUGUGGGUAAUAUAAGUUCGUAUGUAGGUGUGUAGUUCAUGUAGGAUUGAGAAUACAUAGAUUCAUGAAUGACUUAUUGCCAAUGGCUUAACCAGUGUGUAUUUCAAUCCCUCGUGGUUCGUUCACUGUAUCAUGAAACUUUAGUUCUGAGGUGAGACUGGCAGUUCUACACGCACCAGACAAGCGGCCUGUCCAGUGUCCUCUAACUCUCUCUCUUCCUUCUCGUCAUUGUUCAGUAGUGUGUGUGUAAUGUGUAGCUGCUGCCACCGCAUUCCGCCGCGCCUUGCCUACCUGAGUGACCUGAAAGACAACGGGCAGUGGUGAAUUGCAGCCACCACUAUCACAGCCACCACCAUCACCAAAAUCACCACUACCACGUCACACGCCGCCUGGCUUUUGGACGUUCGGCAACACACACAGCUUAAGAGACCUGCUGGAAGUGCAAGACAGAGACGGUUGAGAAUGGACUAUACUAAAACCUUCACAGCAUGAUUGGUUCAAGAUUUCUUUUUCGUGGAAGAAACUUAUGUGGGGAUUGAAAUAGUGAAGACUGUGGCUAUUGAUCUCCUGACCUCUAUAGAUCCGCCCUAAUGUGAAAAAAUCGUCUAAUCGUACACUAAUCUCAAGGUAAAAAUGUGUCCCAGUACUUUAGGGAUUAAUUUCACGUGCACAUUUAUCUAGCCACAAGAAAUAAAAGUUCAUGAAAUUUAGAGUAUACAAAAGUUACUUAUUAGAGAUCUUGCAUUGUGAAGAUUUGCUGAAAGUUCUUAUCUUGGCCUUUGUUUAUCAUUAUUAUUUAGUUCAGUCAGUGUUAGUCAGCAAGCAAUGUCAAGGAAUUUAUUAGUCAUUUAUUUGAUGGUAACAGUUCAAAAGCUGCUUAUCAAUCCCUCAUUGCUUGAGCCCUCUCUCCCAGCACACCUACACGCGCACACACACACACACACACGCGCGCGCGCUCACACACACACACACAC